CAGGAGCUUGCAUCCAGGCUCUCGGUACAUCGGACGAAUUCCUGGUGUUAGACUUGUUCUUGGAAGUGGCAAGGAACCGUUACGGAUUUAGCGCACUGAGCGAUCCAUAAUGAUGCAAGC
rnacentral:sRNA from 1 species